rnacentral:rRNA from 1 species
UACAGAGGUCCCAAGCGUUUGUUCGGAUUCAUUGGGCGUAAAGGGUGCGUAGGUGGCGCUGUAAGUCGGGUGUGAAAUUUCGGAGCUUAACUCCGAAACUGCAUUCGAUACUGCGGUGCUUGAGGACUGGAGAGGAGACUGGAAUUCAUGGUGUAGCAGUGAAAUGCGUAGAGAUCGGCAGGAACACCCAGGGGGGAAACCAGUGGACUGGCACGGUGCUGACACUCAUGUGCGAAAGCGUGGGGAGCGAACCGG